rnacentral:lncRNA from 1 species
UGGGACGAGACGUGAGGUACGUGUGUAGCGGUCGAUAGAGCUUCCGACCCAGGUUGUUUCGAUUUAGUUGUUAUCCUUGGUAUUUCUGUUGAUAUAUAGUUUAGUUGGUUUAUGUGGUUCAGUAAUUAUUUACAUUCGAAAGUGUGGAUUUCUGGAUUUUGUAAAAUAAAAGGUUUUCUACCCCUCGUGGUAGCGUUUUUAAAAGAAUAAAGGUUUCUGUGUAGGAAACAGCUUUCAAAAGAUUUUUGUGGAUUUCUGUCUAAACCUUGAAUACAAAACUGUGAUGUGAAUGGUGAAUGUAUGAAUGUAUAGUUAUCCUUAUAUUCAUCUGGUUGUGGUUGUAUCCUGGUUGUACUGUGUAUUUGAUCGACGCCGUGCAAAUAUAGGGGAGACUCUGUCCGUGUGAACAGUGGAUUCCCUGUAUUUGUGGCGGAUCUGGCAUAUCCUGGAGUCAGGUUUUCAAAGAAAAAAAAAUUCAGACGCUUUUCCGCUUUGUUUUAAACUGAAAAGGGACUCCGGGGCGUGACAAUAUAUUUAAUCUAUAUAUAAAAAUUAUAACAAUAAUAUAUAUAGUAUAUUAAUUAUUAUAUAUUUAUUAUAUAGCCGAAUUUUUGAUCCCGAAUUUUUAAUUGGUGAACGUAUAAUACCCGUAUAAAUCACGUAUCCGAAUAACUGGCGAAUCCGUUUUUUAGCCAUAUUUUUCAACGAAUUUAAAAAUUAAAAGACGAAUUUUAUCUGAAUUAUAUCUGUACCGAAUUUUUGCCGAAUCCAAAUUAACUAAUUAUGCCUCCAGCCACUAAGGUUGGUUUAGCUACGAUCGAUCUCAUCCGUUAAUCUGCUCGCUCCCGACGUGCUUAAUUAAUUAAUUGAUAUUUGAAGGGCAAAUAAGAAAAAUAUUUGCUAUAUGAAGGGUAUAUAAGAUAAGUUAGUUACGGUACAAGGGUAUAUUGGAAUGGGCAAAAUGGUAAUUUUUCAGAGAUAACGGCAGCUAACUGACGGAACUUAACUCCGGGGGUAUAUUAGAAAGACUUGGAACAUAAAAAGGUAUUUUCAAUAUUAGCCUUCUAAGAGGGGUAAAUAAGAAAACCGGAAACUUUUCAGGGGCAUAUAGGCAAUUGCCCCUAUAAAAAUCUAUUCUCUACAAAUAAUUAUAAUCAAUUUGUUAACAAAAUAUCUAGAAUAGAUAUGAUCAAUCUAUUAAAAAAUAGCAUUCUUAUCCAUCUAUAAAUUCAAUCAUACGAACGAUUAUAAUCAAUUUGUUAAGAAAUAUUUAAAAUAAAAACAAACUGUUAUGAUCAACUUAUUAAAAAAUAGCAUUCCUUUUCAUCUAUUGUCACGCCCGGGUACCAGCAGAAGCAUAUCCGGUACGUGCACGACCCGCCAUAC